rnacentral:lncRNA from 1 species
AUGGUGGUGCCUGUCCCACCUCCCUGCUUAAGCCUUCCUGGCUCCGGAUUCUGGCCGGUGUCCGGUGGAUCCUUUGCUACGACUGGGCGGGGGGGGGAACUCAGGUGGCUUCCCUCCAGAGAGAUUCCCCGUCUCCUGCUCUUUCUCCUUUGGCCAGUCCCGGAGGUGGGCUCUGUGUACCCCCUCCCCUCGCCCAACUGGACCAUCUCCAGGGGGAAGGAAGGUCCAGGGCGGCUCCAGGCUGACCAGGCCGUGGAUCGGAGCCUUGGCGCGUGGCUCCGGCUUCCGAGUCGGGCACAAGCUGCCCGGGGCUCCUCGGCCUCCUCGCAGGAGAAUCGCCCGAAGCCCCCCCCCAAGAAGUUGUUCCUCUUGAACGGCCGAGUUCCGAUUCAUGAUCUCAUCGGGCAUCGCCCAGCAACCCCGGGGUCACAGGAGGCAGUUCUGGAACACGGCUCCGCGCGGCCCCUGUGGACGUCUUCCGGGGUCAAAGACAAGAUGGGCCGGUGGGCCGAGGGUCUCUGGCUGAGCAGCCUUGGUUGGGGCCUGGGCGUGUCAGAGCGGCCCUCCUGGUACUACGUGGGGCUCGAGGUGCCCUCGGACACGGCCGACCUCUCUGAGGGGCGCCCCGGUUGCUUCCUCUUGGAGGUGCUGCAUUACACCUACUGGGUCUUCCUCAGCAUCUUGGCCAUCAUGGUCCUCUUCUCGGCCCGCCUUUUCUUGAGACGCUUUCUCAGCUUCCAGGAGGCACCAACAAAGCCGAAGGACUCGCCCGGAAAAGACCCCGAAGAAAGGCAGCUCAUGGAGGCGCUCCAUUUGUUAGAAGCCGUGAUGUUCAAAAUCCAGUGCCAUCUCAAGCAGCGGGAGCAACGGCAGCAGCGCCAGCAGCACCGGCACCGGCUGCGGCACCGGCAGAGAAGGACGGACCCCCUCCAGCUCGCUCCCGGCCCUGGCCUGGAAUAAACCGAACGGAAGGACCUGGCGAGGCCACGGCAUCACCUCCCCCCCCCACGCUUUCCUCUGCCGGCAGUGCCACGGAGGGGCGCUGGGGUGACCCCCUGAAAGGGGAAGCCAGGACCACCUGCAGCCGGAUGAGGCGCCGCAACAACCCACUCGCCCUGGCAGGGCUGGGGGAGUUCCUAUGCCACCGGAAAGGGCCCCGUGGGUCAUCCGGGCGGCCACUCUGGCCACCCCACCUGAGGCCGGAGAAAGUUAGCCCGAAUAAAUUACCGGCUGAAAGCCA